GUGCCAGCAGCCGCNGUAAUACGUAGGGUGCGAGGCGUUGUCCGGAAUUACUGGGCGUAAAGAGCUCGUAGGCGGUUUGUCGCGUCGUCUGUGAAAUCCUGCAACUCAAUUGCAGGCGUGCAGGCGAUACGGGCAGACUUGAGUACUACAGGGGAGACUGGAAUUCCUGGUGUAGCGGUGAAAUGCGCAGAUAUCAGGAGGAACACCGGUGGCGAAGGCGGGUCUCUGGGUAGUAACUGACGCUGAGGAGCGAAAGCGUGGGGAGCGAACAGGAUUAGAUACCCUGGUAGUCCACGCCGUAAACGGUGGGCGCUAGGUGUGGGGGUCUUCCACGACUUCUGUGCCGUAGCUAACGCAUUAAGCGCCCCGCCUGGGGAGUACGGCCGCAAGGCUAAAACUCAAAGGAAUUGACGGGGGCCCGCACAAGCGGCGGAGCAUGUGGAUUAAUUCGAUGCAACGCGAAGAACCUUACCUGGGCUUGACAUAUGCCGGAUCGGCGCAGAGAUGCGUUUUCCCUUGUGGUCGGUAUACAGGUGGUGCAUGGUUGUCGUCAGCUCGUGUCGUGAGAUGUUGGGUUAAGUCCCGCAACGAGCGCAACCCUUGUCUUGUGUUGCCAGCACGUUAUGGUGGGGACUCGCGAGAGACUGCCGGGGUUAACUCGGAGGAAGGUGGGGAUGACGUCAAAUCAUCAUGCCCCUUAUGUCCAGGGCUUCACACAUGCUACAAUGGUCGGUACAGUGGGUUGCGAUACCGUGAGGUGGAGCGAAUCCCUUAAAGCGUGUCUCAGUUCGGAUUGGGGUCUGCAACUCGACCCCAUGAAGUCGGAGUCGCUAGUAAUCGCAGAUCAGCAACGCUGCGGUGAAUACGUUCCCGGGCCUUGCACACACCGCCCGU
rnacentral:rRNA from 1 species